rnacentral:rRNA from 1 species
AGUUAUGGUUCCAUUGAUGGUACCACAGUUACUUGGAUAACUGUGGUAAUUCUAGAGCUAAUACAUGCAAACAGAGCCCCGACCACUCGUUGGAAGGGGUGCUUUUAUUAGAUCAAAACCAAUCAGGCUGUAAUGGCUUGUUAGUCUUGGUGACUCUGAAUAACUUUGGGCUGAUCGCAUGGUCUUGUACCGGCGACGCAUCUUUCAAAUGUCUGACUUAUCACACUUUCGAUGGUAGGCUCUGCGCCUACUAUGGUUAUAACGGGUAACGGGGAAUCAGGGUUCGAUUCCGGAGAGGGAGCC